UACGAUGCCGGUGGUGUUUGUGGUGGCGUUGUUGUCGUUUUCCAUUGUUUAUGAUCUCAGUGAAGGGCUGAUAAUUUCAAUAAUGGAAUGAAGUUCGUUGUUGGGAAAAGAAUUUAGAAAGAUUGAACCCUAAUUGUAUGAAGUGCGCGGAUGAUAGGGAUCCGACAUGCACAAUCAAGAGGGAGAGAGGGGUAGGUUGUAAGCAGAAAGAAAUAUGGUUUCAUUUUUAUUUUAUUUUUAUUUAUUUU
rnacentral:misc_RNA from 1 species